rnacentral:ncRNA from 1 species
GUCUACGUACAUGCCGUAUUAAAGCGAAACCGCGAAUGGCUCAUUAAAUCAGUUAUGGUUCCUUGGAUCGUACCUUACUAUUUGGAUAACUGUGGCAAUUCUAGAGCUAAUACAUGCAGCAGAGCUCCGACCCUCUGGGGACGAGCGCUUUUAUUAGACCUUAUACCUUCAGUUGCUGCUUAAUACUUUCCUUCAAAUGUACAAAAUAUAUCUUUUCUCUGUAAAUAUACUUUUACAUGACCUCAAAACAAAUAAUCUGCUGGAG